ACUCCCAACCCAAUGUGAACCAUACCAAACUGUUGCCUCGGCGGGGUCACGCCCCGGGUGCGUCGCAGCCCCGGAACCAGGCGCCCGCCGGAGGGACCAACCAAACUCUUUCUGUAGUCCCCUCGCGGACGUUAUUUUUACAGCUCUGAGCAAAAAUUCAAAAUGAAUCAAAACUUUCAACAACGGAUCUCUUGGUUCUGGCAUCCGAUGAAGAACGCAGCGAAAUGCGAUAAGUAAUGUGAAUUGCAGAAUUCAGUGAAUCAUCGAAUCUUUGAACGCACAUUGCGCCCGCCAGUAUUCUGGCGGGCAUGCCUGUCCGAGCGUCAUUUCAACCCUCGAACCCCUCCGGGGGGUCGGCGUUGGGGACUUCGGGAACCCCUAAGACGGGAUCCCGGCCCCGAAAUACAGUGGCGGUCUCGCCGCAGCCUCUCAUGCGCAGUAGUUUGCACAACUCGCACCGGGAGCGCGGCGCGUCCACGUCCGUAAAACACCCAACUUCUGAAAUGUUGACCUCGGAUCAGGUAGGAAUACCCGCUGAACUUAAGCAUAUCAUAAGGCGGGAAG
rnacentral:rRNA from 1 species